UUAAGCAUAUCAAUAAGCGGAGGAAAAGAAACCAACAGGGAUUGCCUUAGUAACGGCGAGUGAAGCGGCAAAAGCUCAAAUUUGAAAUCUGGCACCUUCGGUGUCCGAGUUGUAAUUUGAAGAAGGUAACUUUGGAGUCAGCUCUUGUCUAUGUUCCUUGGAACAGGACGUCACAGAGGGUGAGAAUCCCGUGCGAUGAGAUGUCUGAUUCUACGUAAAGUGCUUUCGAAGAGUCGAGUUGUUUGGGAAUGCAGCUCUAAGUGGGUGGUAAAUUCCAUCUAAAGCUAAAUAUUGGCGAGAGACCGAUAGCGAACAAGUACAGUGAUGGAAAGAUGAAAAGAACUUUGAAAAGAGAGUGAAAAAGUACGUGAAAUUGUUGAAAGGGAAGGGUUUGAGAUCAGACUUGGUAUUUUGUAUGUCUUG
rnacentral:rRNA from 1 species